CCGAUCAUAUAUAUAAAUCUGUUGUGCGCAUUACAACUGGUCUAGGGUUUAGGUUUCUUCUUCUCAGCCGCAGCGCCAACCUCGAGUCGAAAAUGGUGAAGGGACGCCAAGGAGAACGCGUCAGGCUCUACGUUAGAGGAACUGUUCUUGGAUACAAAAGGUCGAAAUCGAACCAGUAUCCCAACACUUCGUUGAUUCAGAUCGAGGGAGUGAACACUAAGGAAGAAGUGGACUGGUACCUUGGGAAGCGUCUCGGGUACAUCUACAAGGCAAAGACAAAGAAGAAUAACUCACACUAUCGUUGCAUUUGGGGUAAAGUUUGUAGGCCUCAUGGAAACAGUGGCGUUGUUAGGGCUAAGUUCAAGUCCAAUUUGCCUCCCAAGUCUAUGGGAGCUAAGGUUAGGGUUUUCAUGUACCCAAGCAAUAUUUAAGGUAACUUCCUUACUUUCUUUGUAUCUUGUGUUUGGAUUUGCCAAGUCAUGGAUUGAUUGAGCUUUGUGCUUGUAUGAUGUUUUCUGUUGUGACUCUAUUUUCCAUGCUAUUGUUCAUUUUGAUUAAUAAAACGUAGUUUAGGCUAUCGAGGCUUGACGAAUAGCCUCAAGAAAUCAUCGUCGAUGUUUAUCUGUUCGCUGUGCCAAUUUGAAGAUACAUUUUGGUAUCUGCCUCAAGUCUUCUCCUUGUCUAGCAUGAAUGUGCUCAAGACAAGAAUGAUGAGAAGGGAUAUAGUUCAAUCAAUGAAAUAUGUUUCAAUCUUUAGUAUGUGUAGUCUUUUGACAUGUUUGUAAAGUUGCCAGCAUUUUAGGAUUAACUGGUAGUAUAAGAUCUUUUGGUUUGAAGCUUGUUGCUGGUAGUUAAUAAUUGUUUACUUGACUCCCUACCUUAGUUAUGACAAACUAAAAUCCUACAUACGGGGAAUGGUUCAUAUUGGUGCUACCUGAUUAUUUCUAGGAUUCUUUAUUUGUGCAACUUCCGUUAAAAGUAGUUCCUAACUCGUGUCAUUUACUGUGAUUUGAAAAGAAACUUCAAAUGUAGAGCCAUUUUUAAUACUAUGUUUGAUCCUGACAGUGUAUAUUGAUUCAUAUGAAUAAUUAAAAUCAUGGAGGUAUAUUUUGCUGCUGAAACAUCAGCGUUGACAACAUUGGCGAAAUCGGAAAUUUUUAUCAGCUGUGUUCGAGAUUUAGUAUGUAUAUAUGGAAAAUAGCUUUUGACCUAUAUAUACAGUAUUUUCUCUAUACAAAUUAACAUCUUACAAUGAAGAGUGUUCAACUAACAACCACCCUUUGAUCCAUGUAGCUCCCCCACUUUUUGACAGGUGCAUAUGCGAAUAAACUUGAACCUACUUAUGCAUAGAGCAGUUAUAUAAAUAUAUGAUAAAUAUAUGUUGGGCAUUUAGAGGUGAUGGAUCUGGAUUGCAGUCGUUGGUUGCUUUAGGUGGCUAUUGUCUGCCACAUCGAUGUUUUCAACGAUGUGGAAUCUUGAACGUAGUUGAGAGUUAAAUCUUGUAAUGUGCUUUGAGGUGUUUAUCAUCUUAUCUGUUAUUUCAAUCAUUUCCGGUUAAUACGAAGACUAGUACAUUAAAUGUGGCUAAUUUUGCUCAUGGAGCAAAGUGACUUUUUUGUUCAACUAUUCAGCUGUCUUUGUUUUCAA